CCGUCAGAUCGUCACCGUGCGGCCGUGCCCUGUCGAACGAAGUCGCCGAACGCCGCUCCCUCCGCCGCCGUCUCUACGACUGGCGCCCCACCUCGCACCUCCCCUUGCUCCCCAGCCUCGCCCCCCGUCCUCACUACCGGCUGCCUCGCCUCCACUACUGCCCCGGGUCCCGGCGGCUCGAUACCCCUCCCCUUGCUCUUGCUCGCCUGUCCCCAUCCCCCGUCCUCACCCUCGGCUCGGCGGCGGCCCGCGGAGCGCGGAGCGCCGGUGCCUGACUUCGAACUUGGCAACCUCCGGUGAGAACUCCGAGCAGUCUUGCCGUCUUGUCCAUUACAUCUGGAGAGCAGUGACACCCUGAAGACCUGAACGGCUGAACGAGCUGAGCAGCCGACGAGGCGACGACGGCCUCCUCCGCUGCGCCCCCGCCCCGUGAUUCUUUCGCCGCCAGCUGUGUGUUGCUUGACUGUGUGGCCUGCUGGUGCCUACUGCUGCCGCGGCGCCCCUCCUCUCGCUGAUCUGGCGUAGGAUCAAUGUCAACUAUUUCUGAUCAGAAGAAACGGACCUUAGAAGCUAUUCAACAACGGUAUGCAGCAGCUAAAGCUAAGAAGCUGCAAGAUGAACAGCCCAAGUGCCCGAAGAACAAAGAGAGUACCCCCAAGCCCAAGUUUGAUGCACAGAGGAAAGGAAAAACUCCUGAAUCCACUCCUCGAACUUCUGGCCAGCUGCCUACAUUUAGAGCUCAAGGAAACUCCAGUCAUCAACAAAAGCCUUCUGCCUCCUCAGGUGGAGAAAUCAACCCUAUAUACUCUGAGAUUUCAUUUGCUCUUCAUGAAAAUUUGUCCCAAGAUGACUAUGCGGAUCCCGACAGCACAGACGUAGUUCAAAAUGUCAUAUAUGAUAUAAUUCAGAAAGGUGGAGAAGCCGGGAAAAUUUCCAAGGGAUCGAAAAAGUUAAAGUUGGAUAGAGGGAUUCUUUUGGAUAACUAUGUUCAAAGGGGUCCUAUAUUAGUGGAUGCACAAUCACGAUCUUUGUUGAUCCACUCGAAGCGAUCAAAAAGGCACAUGUCACUGAAGCAACAUAAGAAAUGUGGGUCAUUUGAUUUACAUGAUACAUUCCGCAGGUUUGACCUCUAUAAGCCAAUGCAUGAAAUGUGGAAAGAGUAUAUGCGAGAGCUUACAAAAAGUACUCCGAAAAAGCAAUUGUCGGAAAACCUCCUUUCAGCAGAUCUUCAUGGGGCGCUUAUAAUAGUGGCGCAAUGCAAAGCAGCCUCAUAUGAAGGUGUAAGUGGCAUCAUGAUUCGUGACACUGCAGAGACUUUUGGAAUUAUAUCAGAGGACAACCGCUUCCGAGUUGUGCCGAAAGCUGGGUCAGUUUUCGUCCUCCAAGCUGAUUGCUGGAAGGUGACACUGAUCAGCGACAAACUGUCACCAAAGGAGAAGUUGAAGGGAAGCCAGCGUCUGCAGCGUGCGCAAUCACUGAUCAGAUAGAGUUUCGAGCCUGUUAGACUCUGUUUUUUGACGAAUUUUGCCCAGAUGAACCCCUAGAGUUUUUCUUGUUUAGUCUUUGUUUCUAUUGAUUAACAUCAGUCUAUCCCUUCAUUGCUUAGCACCUGGCAGUUCUUGUUGCUCCACAUUGUAAGCCUCUCACACCUGGCAAAGACGCAACACUGAGAAAUUCCUUGGUUAAUUCGAACACGCUUGUUGUGCAAGCUACAUCCUUGUAGGAUAGCAACUACCAUACCAUGAUCAAUCACAGCUCUUUAUCAGAUUUCUUUUUGAUCAAUCAUAGCUUAGCAAGCAGGCGUGUAUUGCAGCGCUGAGGAAACAAUAACCUGUGGGCUGUGGCUGGAGCGGCGGCACCGGCGCAGGAUGAAGCUGGUUGCGGCGGAUCCCUUGCCGUGGGAAGGACUCCGGCAUGGAAGACGACGCUGCGCUAUUAGUUAUACAGUGGAUAGACGCAGGAGGUUUUGGGUGCUGUUAUUAAACACCCUCAUCCGGUGUGUGAAUCGUCGCCGUCGUGUACCAUGAGGAGGUGUUUGUUUCGCGUCUAUUUGUCCGUUAUCCGAUUACAGCGGGAUCUAAUACCGUUAAACAUGUUUGGUUUACUUGGCCUGUAACCGAUUACCCUGGAAACAAAUACCAGCGCAGAG